rnacentral:misc_RNA from 1 species
UGAAGAAUCAAAAACUUUAUUGGACCAACACAACACAUUUUCUUCUUGGUCAAUAUCAAUAAUGGUGAAUUACACAAAAGUGAAGAGAGCAUCUUCACAUUCUCUUUCAUAUCCAUAGAAAUGCAUGGACAAAUAAAAUCUACAAAAAUAAUAGGAAUUAAAGAGUUAAAAAGCUUCAAUCUUCUUCAUUUCCCUGCCAUGAUUUUCUCCAAUUUCCAAUAUUAUCUCCAUGGCU